rnacentral:lncRNA from 1 species
CUGGAUCAUAGCCUCAAGAAGAAAGGAAGGGAGCUGAAGUCUCUCUCAGUCAUUCUCUGUAUCUGUCAUGCUCUCCACAUGUGUGGUCCUCUAUCAGGACCUAAGCCCUGUGGAGACAGUCCAGGCAUACCUCAGAGAUAUUGUGGGUUCUGUUCCAGACCACUGCAAUAAGAACUCAGUGUGCCCACGUACAAUUACAUAUGCAACAUUUGUGAACAACAUAUUCUCAAACCCAAGUCCACGCAUCUGAGGUCAGCAAUGCCAGCUAACCCUCACACAGGGCCUCCCACCUGCCAGGCACUGCGCGAAGCUCUUCAACUGUAUCAGCUCAUUUAAUCCUUCAACAACUGUAUUACAAGUUCUAGCGACUGGAAGUCAAGGAUGAAGGCGCCAGCAGCACCUUGGGUUGAUGUCUGAUUAGGAAACUGAGGUCCACACAGGUUGAGUAAUUUGCCCAAGGUCACAGAGCUAGCAAAUGGCAACUCCAGCAUCAAGUUCUCAACCACUAUGCUGUGCUAUUUCUCACCACCUAGCAUGAGUCUUAAUAUAACAUCUAACAACCAACAACCCUAACCCCUAGCAGAACUUUAAACCUAUCUUAUAAUUAUCAGAGCUUUGCCGUGCCCUUUCUUUUUUUAAGUUUCCCUACAGGGAAACAAUCCCUCACUAUUACUAUUCUUUUAUUAGAAAUAGUUUCUAUAUUAUCAGUUUUAGAGAAAUAACGUGUAGUUACUACAAUCUGGCUCUUAAAACGCUUAUAUAUCUUAGUUAAACAUCUAGUGAAAACUUCUUCUAAUUUUCUAUAUUUAUACCCUACUGGUUACAAAUAUAAUCAGUAGUAAUAUUUCAAAGUCUUGUGAAAGAUGACCUGAGUGGAGCCAUAUCAAAAUAGAGCCAGAGCAGCCAUUACAGAGGAGUUGCCUUGCACAUCUUGUUUUCUUUAUCUUCCAAACUGGUCCAAACUGCCAAUAUUCCGAGAAGUCAGUAAGGACAAGAAUAUCCUUUCUGUAAGAACCGAUGCAACUGGACUUUGCUGAUGAUCAAAUCGCUAACCAACCAAUGAAGGACAAGUCCAGCCUUUUCUCUGAUGACCGAAUCUCAAGGCAAUCUAUGAAGUACAACCUAACCUUGCCUCAUCUGGCACCAAUGAACUCUUCUUUAAUACGACUCACUUCACCCUCCCUUUUUCCAUAAAAAUCCUAAGCCCCUCUCCUGUAAUUGGGAUGCUAUUUGGGUUUCUACCUGAAUCUGUGCCUCAUGAAUUGCAGUUCUUUGAUCCCAAAUAAACACUUUGCC